rnacentral:rRNA from 1 species
CAUGUCUUUUUGAUUAUAAUUUAAAGUCUAAUCUGCACAGUGAGGUUUUAAAUUGCCGCAGUAUUUUGACUGUGCUAAGGUAGCAUAAUAAUUAGUUUCUUGAUUAGAAACUGGUAUGAAUGAUUGGACGAGAAAAUUUCUGUCUCCUAUUAAAGAAUUUUUGAAUUUUAUUUUUGAGUUAAAAAGCUCAAAUGCUUAUAAAAGACGAGAAGACCCUAUAGAGUUUGAUAUUUUAAAUUAAUUGUUUGGUAGGAAAAUAGUUUUAUUUAAAGUAUUUAGUUGGGGUGACUUGGAGAUUUAUUAAAUUCUCUAAAAGUUUUAAUUGAUUAUAUUUAAUUUUUUUAUCUAGGUUUCUUAAAUUUAAAAUUAAUUACCUUAGGGAUAACAGCGUAAUUUUUCUUUAAAGUUCUUAUUAAAAGAAAAUUUUGCGACCUCGAUGUUGGAUUAAAAUAAAUUUUUGGUGCAGUAACUUAAAAAUUAGGUCUGUUCGACCUUUAAUAUUUUACAUGAUCUGAGUUUAAACCGGUGUAAGCCAGGUUGGAUUCUAUCUUUAGAUAAAUUAUAUAUUUUAGUACGAAAGGACCAAAUAUAUAUUAUAUAUUAAUUG